CAAGUACUCCCUCCGUCCAGAAUUACUUGUCAUCAAAAUGGAUGUGUCUAGAACUAAAAUACAUCUAGAUACAUCCAUUUCAAUGACAAGUAUGUUCGGACAGAGGGAGUACAAG
rfam:Triticum aestivum genome assembly, contig: Triticum_aestivum_CS42_TGACv1_scaffold_194073_3AL